GUACAGACGGGGUUCACCGCGGCUCACGGAGGACUGACGAGUCCCUGCGUGGCGUGACUGACGUCCUCCCAGGGUGGACACUGGUUCAGCCACGCUCCCGUCAUGCAGCUCGCUUACUCAGUCUGGUUUCAUCAGACCUCUCACACUUUACUGUGCUGCUCUAAGAGCUAAAGGCUCAACAGCCACCUUCGAGGCUUUCGGGACGGGAAACGAGCCAGGCUGCGCUCCAUCUCCGUGGGCGGGGCGGGUUCCCACCGGUCUGGCCAGUCCCUGUCUCCCGGGCCUGACCUCUCCUCACGCCCGCCCCCCUGCCCCUAGGGCCGCCCCCCAAGACUCUCAGUCCCGGCACAGUCACUGGCAGAUCUGCGACGGGCACCACCUGCUCCAGCGGCAGCAGCCGGCCCUCUACCGGGACGAGCCCCAGGCGCCCGGGAGGGCAGCCAGCCUCGGAGUGCCCCUCCUGCCCCUCAGCCUCAGCCUUCUGACCUUCCCACAGGCCAUCCUGCGUGUCUCGGUCACUCGGUGUUUUUGGCUUGGCUUUGUGAUCUGUACCUGCCAUGGAGAACAUCAGUAAACACGAGUCACAAUCAAGAUCUCUGGCGAAAGGCCUGGGGUGGGAGGAGCCUGCGAUGGGAGCUGUUUCCCAGAGAUUCAGCCCACCUUGCCUUGCAAGCGCAAGGUUCCAAGUUCGAUCCCCGGUACCAAAAAAAAAAAAAAAAAAUCCACCCCUUUACAGUACAGGAGUAAGUGUUCUUAGGGUAUUUGCAAUGUGGAGCAACCAUCACCACUGUCUGUCCCCCGCACUUCCGUGGCCCCACAAGGAAGCCGCAUCCGGCUCCCAGAAGGCACCACCCUCUGUCUUUGUGACCUGCGCUGUGGACCCCAUGCGGUGUUCGCCCUCGGCAGCAGCACCCCUGGGCCGCAGUGGCUGUAUGGACUCGGAGUGUGUGGUCCUGUCUUGCUGACCUUCCCCCUGUUCGGGGGAGCGGGUCGGGCUGUGUGUGGGGUGAUGCGGUGGCCGUGGCCCCCUAGUCCAGGUUGGGUCUCAGACCGCUGGCCCUGGGCGUGCAGGCAUCCUCUGGAAGCUUGGCGCUGGGCUCCACAAGAGGGCGCUGUCUGAAAGUCUUCCGUGCGCUGGGAGUGACGCAGCCGUUCAGGAGGGUUUGGGGCGCGUGCUCCUGUCUUCCCAAACAUCUAGAGCUCAAGGAGUGCAGAAAAUUCUGACCUCCCUACCCACCCGACCACCCAACCACCCAGCCACCCAGCACCCACCCACCUCCUCCCACUGUCCUCACCAUUUAGCGGGCAGGGACCAAGUAGCCCAGCCCUGUCCACGAUUCCUCUGUGAUCAUGGAAAGCCACAUGUGGUCACUGAGGGAAACUGAGGCUCAGGGAGGUUAAGGAACUUGCCCAGGGUCAUGGGGCUCACAUACAGCUGAGGCAGCAUUCGAACCCAGGCCUUGUGGUGCAGGGCCCAGGCUUUACAUGCGCCACGGUCUCAGGUCAGGUCAGGGUGGGUGAGGGACAUUCAGCGGCCAGCAGGGAAGGAGAAGGCUCCUUGUCCCCCUGGACUGGCCCCUGUGGUGUCCGAGCUCCUCAGCGCUUCCAGGCUGGGGCUGAGAGCCUGUUAUUGUGCUUUUGGCAUGGUGGGCACCAGCCUGGCCAUUGCAUAGGCAGCACACAGGGCACCAGGUCACCGGCCCGUGCCCCUCCUCAGGCUGAGAGGGACAGAAGGGCACAUCCGGGUGGGGAUCACCUGGCCGCAUUCUUCGUGCUUCCCCAGUCUCUGCUUCUAUAGGCUGAUCUGAUGGAGGAGGCCUUGACCCAGCCUCUGAGCCACACCCCAGGAGACUGGCUUCUCCUGGCCCCACCCAGCUGCCACCCAGCUGCUUCCUUGGGCAGCGAAGGGCCACUCCACCUUCUCUCUCCAUCCCAGGGGCGGAGGAUGUCAUCUGCAGUCUCGGCCCUCUGGAUCAAAACACGAUGCUUGCCCUUCCCAGGAUGGGGAACAGCGCCUGCACUGCUGCGGUGCUGUGUCCCCACCACACCUGUGGUGUCGCAUUUAUGACACAAGUGUUUCCCUCUCGCACCCCUGAGAAAGGUCACUGGCUUUUAGCCCCCAGUGAGUGUCUUUCCAUGUCAGAAGCAGACACUCAGCAGCCCCAGUGCAACCCAGAGCAGAGAGCCCUUCCUGCUCGGGUUCCCUGGGCCUCCUGAGCCGAGGGCCUGGCCCAGAGAUGCCUGGGCCCUGCCGGGCUGUCCUGGCACCAGUGCAAUUGUAGGAGCAGGUUUAUGUGUCGCUUGCGUCAAGGGCUCCUUCCUUGCAGGGAGGCCCAGCCCUAACUGGAGAGUGGAAGUUGGGGUCCUGCUCUCUUCCUGGGAGGUGAUCUCUGGCCUGGCUCUUGGGCGCAGCAGCUCCCUAGGGGCCCACCCGCCCGUGUCACUCACCAAGGUCCAGCGCUGUGGCAGUGGGGAGCUGCACCGUGAAUGGCCAUGAUGUCACUUGGGACCUGCCCAGUUGGCCAAAUCCCACCUGGUUGUGCUGCCCUCCACUGCCCUUGGCCUCUGUUUGCUGAACCCCUCUCAGCACCCGCUUUGGAGAGGAGGUGCUUGUUCCUCAGCUGCAAUUGCUGCCGAGUGGAGUGGGGUGCUGUCUCUUCUCAGUGUCCACAGGAGGAAGAGACGGCAGGGGGAGCUUGAUGGCCAUGUGCAUUGUCAGUGUGGCUGGAGCAGGCAGGAAAGUCUGGAGGGGUCCUGGAAGGGAUGAGGGGACCCCUUAGGGCACCCUGCCUCUGCUCUGCCCAGCUGGGCUGGCAGCUCCGGGCCAGUGGGGUGGGGAGGCUUCUGCUGGUUGCAUUGUGGCUAUCCUAGCCUGGCCCUGCCAGCCUGGGAGCCCUUGUGCAUGAGUGAUGGGAGCGGGCGUGUCCAUGCUGUGCUCCAUAGGGGUAUCGGACGCUGUGGCUGUCUGGGAAGUGGGCUGUUUGAGGCUACUUAUCCAUAAAUUGCCACCGGGUCAGGACUCUUGGUCGUAAAGAACAGGAAAGCUAAUUCAUGUUGACUUAAGCUAGGAGGGAAUUUGUUAAUUUACAUAAUGGAAAAGUCUAGGGCCCUGAUGGCUUCAGGGGCAGCUUGAGCCAGGGAUGCAGACAGUGUUGGCAGGACCCAGCUUCUCCUCACAUCAUGCCUCUGCGGCCCUCUAUACCACUGGCAGGCAGGUAGUUUUGAAAAAUAGCUGUGAGGAUCUCUGGGUUUGCACCAAAGUAGUGCCAAUUCAGUAGAAAAAAGAGACACUCUUUCCCAUUGUUUCCCACCACUAAGAAGGGAUCUGGAGUUGGCUGAUUGGCCUUGUUGGGGCCACCAGCACUGUGGCUGAGGGGAGGUGCUGCUCUCAGGCACCUUGCAGCCCUGCUGCUGUGGGACAGUCGUCCCGAGCUUAGUGACUUAGAGGGUCCUCUGGUUUCUUUAGCUGGGGAGUCUGCAGUGUGGGCGGUGCCCAGCUGAGAAGUCCCCUCUGCCCCAUGUGGCAUCAGCUGAGCCAGCCCAGGCUGGGGCUGAUGAUUCCGUCAAGAUGGUGAAGUGGGAUAGCUGUCAGGCCAGGCCUGGCGCUGUGUCUGUGGCCUUCCCUGCAGGCUGGGUGUCCCUGGGCACGGCCGUGAGUGUCCCAGGAGACCGGCAGUGGCAGGCUGACCUGCAUCUCUUCUGCUGUGGUCUACGGGCCAAACCACUCCAGAACCCAGGCACCAGGGAAGGGGAUGCAGGCCCUCUCUAGAUAGCGGACCAGAUUGGGCUCUCCGUGAGGCAGAGGUGGCCCUCCGUCCUCAGGGUGAGGCCCGAGAAUGGCGGUGGGGUCUCCUCUUGGCAGAGGCCAAUUUCAGACUCAGGAGAAAAAGCCUCGGGAGGCAGAGGUGCUGCACAGUCUCCAGCUCCACUCUUACGGCCUCGUGAGCGUCCUGGUGCCCAGCACCUGGGGUUGACUCUGAGAGGUGAGGACACUGCAGGACCUCACAGAGAAGCCCAGGGGCUCCCCCUGGGCAGCACCCUGUUCUGGGGACUUGGAUGUCCAGGCUUCACGCACCUUGACCCGCCCGGCCUGGACCUGCCACAGGAGGAGCCGUGGACGUGGCCCUGCGUGGAUGUGGCUCAGACUCCUCCAGCAUGGUCUCCACGCGCCUGUGUGUGCAGCCCCGCACCCCUGAAGGGACAGAUGGGGCACAGGACUGCAGCCUCUCAGAAGUGUGGGGAGUGCAUUGGUCAGGGCAUGGGGGAGGUUGUGGGCAGGCCUCCUGGUGGCCGGGAUGAGCAAAGAGCGGGGAGCAGCACCUGAGGGGUGGGGUGUGGGGCUACAGGAUCUUUCUGGGGCUAACAGUGGUUUGUUUGCUUAUUUAUUGAUUUGUUUCUGCAGUGCUGGGGAUGAGCCCAGAGCCUUACACUGAGCUACAUCACCAGCCCUUUCAUUUUUUUUUUCUGAGACAGAGUCUUGCUGACUUGCCCAGGUGGGAUUCGAACUUGUGAUCCUCCUACCUUAGCCUCCCAGAGUGCUGGGAUCACAGCUGUGCUCCACAAGCCCAUCUGACUGUGUUUAAAAUGCCUGGCGAUUUGGAGCAGGAGGAGGUCCUGAGCUUUCCUCUGAAUUGAUUCUCAGGACUACCGAGCACCUCACAAGAGGACCCCCUCUCUCCGGGGAGAGCCCCGCCCCUGUGCUUUGCUUGGGGACCCUCAGGUCCCUUCCUGUUGGAAGUGGUUCCCAUAUUUGACAGGCUUCUGGACAGAGGCAUGGCUGGAGCUCUUGGGUGUGGGGUGACCUGCUUUCCUUCUGGGGAUUGGCUGGCUCAUUUGUCCUGGGAACAGCAGGGCCACCCGCCCCAGGCCCGCCUGUGGUGCUGGCCGAGCAGCUGUGUGCUCUCACCAGUGCCAGACAUGGGAUCAGAGAGGUCACUGGUAGCUGCACAGUGGAAGGCAGCAAAACGCUUCCCAGCCAAGGGACAGAGCAGUCUGCAUGUGGAGCCAGCAGGCGAGUGGAGGGUCACUCAGCAGCUCUGGGCCUGCUGGGCCCUUGGGGUCACCCACACAGUUCCAGAUGUGCUGCUGACUUCUGGCUGCAGCAGGUGGACAGUGUCCAGGGUCUGAGAAACACAUGCUAGAGGACUCCAUUGCACCAGCAGCUUCCUGUAAGCGACAGGUGUUUCCUUCCCCGCAGAACUCAGCCACUGUCCCUUCCCUCAGAGGCCCUUCCUUCAGCCUUCAGAGGUUAGGACUGGAUGUCUUCCGGAGGUUGUUACCCUGCAGCCCACACUCCCUGAGGAGCCUGCCAAAGAGCCUGAUGGCACAGUCACCUACGUGACCCUUCUGGAAGGUCCUGAAGCUGUGAGGCAGUGCCGAGCCCGGGGCUGCCCCUUGUCAGGAGGCCAGGACAGUCAGACACUGGGCCUCUGUUACCGCAGAGGACAGGCCAUGAAGGCCAGACCUCGGAGGACCCGGCUGCUGACGCUUGGUGACCACAGCUGUCUCUGCCACAUGCACCUUGCCGCCUGAACUCGACGCAGUCCAGACGGGAGCUGUUUCCCUGUGCCUGCUUUCAAGUCAGGAGAGUGAGCGGGGUGUGGGGGUGCACCCCUGUGGUGCCAGCACCCUGGGGGGCUGAGGCAGGAAGGAUCACAAGUUCUAGCCUGGCCUGACCAGUUUAGAGACUUAGUGAGACCCUGUCUCAGAAAAUAAAAAUGGAGCUCAUUGUGAAGGCCCUGGGUUCAAUGUCCAGGACCACAGGGAAAAAAGAGGGGGAGAGGGGAGGGAGGAGGAGAGAAAAGCCCCCGAGAGCUCCAGGGCUUGUUUCCUGCCACGUAGCUCCUCAGAACCAGAGCUGGGGGCCCAGCCCACGUCUGAAUGGGAGGCUGGCUGUACCCGCAGGCAGCACUACCUCACACCUGUCGUACCUGGGCAGCCCUGGAGGGAGGCUUUGCCCAGAGAGGUUUAGCCACUUCUCUGGUCCCAGAUGCCUCAUGUGGCCUCCGAGGCCCCAAUCCCAAGAAGUCCUGUCAGGAGCUUUGCUGCCCGUGAUGGCUCAGGUCCCACACUGCAUCUGGUAGCUCCAUCCUGAUGGUGGUUCAUGGGCUCCCAGGCCCUCCCCUCUGGGUCUGCCAGACUCGGCUGUGCUCGGUGGGCUCUGUCUGCUGAGACCCCGUCUCCACCCCUGGACAAACUCACCCAGUGGGCCUUGUGUGCCCCUGCUUGGCAUGGUGAGGGAGGGAGUGACUUCCGGAGCCCGGCUCUCCCCAUGCGCGGCUGGGGUCCCAGCGGCUCCUGUGCCCUCGGGGCUCAGUCUGUGUCCUGAGGGACAGGGGUGUGUGUGGGGGCCUGUGUGGCCUGCACCUGACCCGCCUGCUGCCCCAGCCCUGCCCUGUGCCCACUGCAGGCCCUGUCUGCUUCCCAGGACUCUUGGCUGACCCGCAUUGCCCCAAGGUGGCCUCAGUGCCAGGGCUGGGGCAGGGAGUGCCCAGGAUGGCUCUGUGAUCAGCUGGUGAUGUCUGCCGCAGGCCCGGGCUGGGCUUGUGUGCGAGCCUUGUGGGUCUUCAUCGCUCCCCAGUGACUCCCCGGUGUUUGGCACAGGGUGGCGUGGGUAUCCACUGUUUCCUCUGAGGGGUGUCACGCUGGGGGGUUGGAGAGCCCACCAGAGGGACGGGAAACUUCCUGUCCUCUCUCUUGCUGUUUCCAAGGGAGACCGCCCACUGAGGGCACCGUUUUCAUGUUAACACAACAGACCAGGCCGAACCGGAGCAGGGAAGGUGCUGGCACCCGGAGGAGGCCAAGCCUGGCAUUCCACCUCGGGGAGCAUUCUGUUGCCUCAGCACCUGCCAAGCAAGUGUGUCCUUUCCAGACAUCCCACACUCGGGGAGAUCCCAGCAUGCCAGCCCCACCAACCCUGCCCACUGCUCCCCCAGGUUCCACUUUACUCAUCCAACAGAUUUGUGAAUCCGACCUUUUUAAAAAGGGAAAGAUUUAAAAACUGUGUGCACAGCGCGUCCGCUCUCUUCUGUGUGCCCUGCUCCUGUACGUGCAUAGUUGCCUGGGGGCUUGGGCCACAGCCUGGGGCACAGUGUCCUUCGGAGCUGCUUUCUGGGCAGGGCGCUGUGCCUGGGUAUCAGGCCAGGGCUCCUGGUGCUGCCACAUCGGCAUUUCAAAUGCUGAGACUGGCUGGUGGCCCUGGAGGGUCAGCCCCACCCAAAGGCUCAAAGCGUCCACUGUGCCUUGGUCCAUUAUCUCACAGGCUGUGAAAUAGGCUGACAGAGAUUUUGAAUUAUGAACGUCCAUACAGGGACUUCAUUUACUUCUUUUUUCUUUUGGUACUGGGGACCGAACUCGGGACCUUGCACUUACAAGGGAGGCAGCGGAACCACUGAGCUAAAUCCCUGGUCCGUUUUUUUUUUUUUUUGGUACCUCGUUUACUUCUCAUAGCAACCCUGAGGUUAUUGUCUUGCAGCUUUUCAGAGUAGGUCUGCCAUGGCUUCGCAGCACCACAUGGUCCUGCAUGGGGUUCCAAGGCCACAGGGGCCAAUGGGGCUGCGGUAGCAGGGAUCUGUUCUGAGACCCUGAUUCUCUGUGAACAGUUUUUUUUUUUUGGUACUGGGGAUCGAACUCGGGACCUUGCACUUUUGAGGCAGGGGCCAAAACCACUGAGCUAAAUCCCCGGCACCGUGAACAGUUUUUUUUUAAUGUCAAUUGUAUUUUCUCCUGUAUUUUUGUGGACUCCUAUCAGUCUUAGGUUAUUCUUCUUUGCAUCACCUAGCAGCUGCUGGACUGAUUUCUCAUGGUCCCUUACUAUCUUUAAGAAAUCUCUGUUUUCAUGGUCCUUAACCGCAAUCCUGUCUUCUAUAUCUGAUAUUCUAUCUUCAGAUUCCCUUAAUCUGCUAUGCAUGCUUUCAAUGGAGUUUUUAAUCUCCUGAAUAUCUGUUUGAAUCUAUUUCAUGGAUUCCAUUUCUUUCUUAUGUUGGGCGAUCAUGGUUUAUAUUUCUUUCUUAUGCUGGGCAUUCAUGGCUUUCAGCAUAUUUUUGAGCUCAUCUAUUUUUUUAUCUGUUUCUGUUUUAGAGCCUCUAAUUAUGUCUUUCACUCUGCUCACCAUGUCUGUAGUUAUCUGGGAGAUUAUGUCUGCUUUGAAUUUUUCUAGAGUCUCAUUCAUCUGUUUUGUUACUUCCUGUGCUAUCAGUUCAGCCUGUCCAGGUGGUUGAUUAUCGGACUUUUCCACCCCAUUUCCCCAAAAAUUGCCUUUUGUAGGGUGGAAGCCUGGGUUUGUGACUUGCUUAAAUGUCUUUUUCAUUUUUGUUUCUGGUACUGUCACUUAUAAGCCAAUGAGUCCCAGUAAGCCAGUCACAGACCCCUGAGAUUCAGACAGACUUCUGGCUGCAAGUCCCAAAUUGAGCUCCCCGCCCUCCCACAGGGCUGAACUCUGCAAGGCUCUACUACAGGUUCCAGCUGCCCUUCCCCUGAAGAUAGUCCAGGAUCAAGUGGGAGGUGAUGAUCCCUCCAACUUACCAAGCACGGUGGUCUGGUGUGCCUUUAUUGCAGAGAUUCUUUUCACUUUUCCAGUGGGAUUCAGUUUUCAUCAGGGAGCCUGAGAGAGGCCUCUCUCUGCUGUUCACCUCUGCAACUCAGGACAAUGGCCUUUAUGUCCCCCUGUGCCUCUGUAAUGUGGAACUGGGUAGCUGCACAGCCAAGAGGCCAGAGGCAGCGGUGGUGGUGGGGCUGGCUGUUGUUACAGGUGCCUGUGGGGCCAAGCCAGUGGCCGGUGGGCCUGCGGGGUGGGGUGGGGGUGUCCUCACCGUUUCCUGGAUGCAAGUGGGCUGACGCUGAUUCUCUUUAAUGCUGCACCGGCAUCUCUCCUGCUGGAAGUUUUUGGGAACAAGUCUUUACCUACCUGUUCUUGUUGGAUCACGGGUCAUGGCAGCCUCUGGAUGUGUGUCUCCUACUGGGGCAGUCCCCACUGUCUGCAUGUGUAAAGGAAGGUGCACACAUGCAGGGUGCCAGGUGUGGGAGUGAGUCAGCCACCCAAGCGCUGGCUCAUCUGCCUCCCGGCCCUGGUGCAGGGCUCUGCCCCUCUCUGGCUUUGUCAGCCUGAGGUACAGAGGCUGGUGUCAUCUGAGCCUGCACUGACUGGGGUGUGAGCAGCUCUCCACUCACUCCUGCUGUGAUGUCCCCGGCCCCAGACUCUGCUCCUUCCUCCCCUGUCCCCUGCCUGGAGUAGGAGGAGGCCCUGGGAGUCCAGCGUGCUCUGAGGGCCUUUCUGUCCUGGGCCGGGAGGUGGCACUGAGGUCCUCACCGUGGCACGGGUGAAGUGUGGGAAGCCAACAAGUGUGAAGCACAUCACACUUGAACAGUGGUCCUGCAAAUCAUUGGCUUCUGUGAGCUGGGAGGGCCAUGGCCAACCCUCCUGGGCCCCCGAUUUUAUCAGUCAACAGAACUGGGGCUUGAGAGAUGCAGAUGCACAUCUGUGGGCACUGCUGUCCUCCCCAGAGGGCCUGGCUCUGCAGACCCCUGAGAGAUGGUGUGUGGGGUUAUGGUUUAUAUCUGUGGAAGGCCAUUGGAUUAGGGGCUUAUAGCAGAUUGCUCUUAGGAGGCGGCUCCUGAUGGGAAGGGGCGGGUCACUGUGGGUGUGACCGGAAGUUCACAUCUCCCUUCCCGCUUCUUCCCUGACGCGCUACUUCCUGUUCACCAUGCCUCGAGCCGCUCUCCUCCCCGAGGCUCCUCUGCCCUGCCGUUCUGCCUCAGAGCCUGCCGACCACCAACCGACAGACGAGCAGUAUAAACCUCUCCUCCGGUUGAGUCGGUGUCGAGCACGGUGUCCCAGCGAGGAGAAGGCAGAGCCGCUGUGCGUCAGGACGCUGGUGCCCCCAACAGAACCACAGUGCGGUGCCCAGGAGGGUCUUGCUGUGUAGCCCAGGCUGGCCCCGAACUCACAAUGAUCCUCCUGCCAGGGCCUCCAAGGUGCUGGGACUACAGCCACGAACCACCGUGCCUGCCCACAGAUGGCAGGAGAGUUUGUGAUUUGCAGGAAAAUCGGGCAGUGAGUACAGAGAUCCUCUGGACAUGCACAGUGUCCCUGGGCACCUGUGACCUGUGAGGACCGGCACCGCCCAUGGGCACUUCCCGAGGGCCACGGUUUCCGGCCUCUCUCCUGUGUCCCGACUGCGUCCUGACCCACGCCCACCCCACAGUGCCCACUGACAGUGCCCCUCCAGUCCUGUCGCCCGCUCAUCCCUCCUACCACGAAUGCAGCGUCCUGACAUCUGGGCUUUUCCAGAACGGCAUAGGGUUGGACCACAGUACACAGCCCUGCAGACCGGCUGCUUUCGUACGCAUUCUUGCUGAAGGCUCCUCUGUGUCUCCUGGGAAACAUUUUAUGGGAGCAAAGCAUGUGUGCAGAAGAUGCAUGAUUACAUGUGCGGGGUCCCGGACUGCCAGGCUCGGGGCUCCGGGGCUCCGGGGUAGCCGGCCCCCAGCCGGAAGCCACUGUGGCCAGUACUGGGAGUCCCGUGUUCACUGCCAGACCCUGCCCUGCUUGCCGGAGGCCACCCUGCUCCCCACGCCUGAGUCCACAGUGGGGACGUCCGUGGCCAGUCUGUGGCCGGUGUCCCGCACUCAGCACUGUGCUGCGUGGCCGGGAGUGGUGUCCCGUGGUAGGAAGGGCCUCUGCUCGUGGUCUUAGCCCCAGCCUCCUUGGUGAAGUACGGGCGGCUGCAUGGAUCACUCCGGCCUUUGGUCCAAGUUCUCUGUUGGCCCUGGCUCCUGAGUGGCCACGCUGCCUCUGAACCCUGGCAUGGGGACUGAGUCUGCUGGACUGGAGCAGGAGAAACGCAACCACAGAGCCCAAGGAUUCAGAAUCUGCCAGAUUACGAAGGGCCCAAUCUCAAUAGUUUUUGCCUAAACUUACACUUAGAUUAAUUUUAGUGAAUAUCCCAUUGGUAAUUAAACGUAUCCAUUUAUAUAUUUAUUUAUUUAUUCUUUCUGUCAUUUUUAAUUUUUAUUUAUUUAUUUAUUUUUGGUACUGGAGAUCGAGCUCAGGUCCUUGUGCUUGCGCAGCAGGUGGAGAAACCACUGAGCUAAAUCCCCGGCCCUUUCUGUCAUUCUUUAUUAGCACGUUUGCAGUACAUACAGUCAUAUCGAUCGUGGGGAGUCGGUGUGUUUCUGUAACACUUCUUAAUUCUUUCUUCCUCCUCGUCCCCCCACCUCUUGGUCCCCUUCCCUUUUGGAAAUGAUCCCUCUGCCUGUUUUCUAUCACCUGUCUUUUGUUUUUCUCUUUAAUUUAUUUAUACUCUGGGUUUCUCAUAGAAGAGAAACCAUGUGAUAUUUAAGCUUGUGUGUCUGAUUUAUUUCACUUAACAUUAUGGUCUCAAGGUGCACCCAUGUUCCUAUAAAUGACUCAAGUUUAUCUUUCUUUAUGGCAGAGUAUUACCCCACUGUGUGUAAAUGCCACAUUUUAUUUAUUCAUUCUGUUCAUGGGCAUAUAGGCCACUUCCAAGAUUUAGCUGUUGUGAGUUUUAUUGCUGUAAACCUGGGUGUGCAUGGAUCCCUGCAGUAUGAUGUCUUUAACUCUCUCGGAAGGGGGAGUAGCUGGGUCAAUGGAAGUUCUAGAUCAUCUGCUCCAUUAAGUGUAAUCUGAGUGGUAUUCUCUGCAUGCAGUCAGUGGUUACUUAGUGAGAUGUGCCCACACUGGCUGGGGGGGGCCCUGGGGGCAGAGCCUUGCUGUUAGGUUUCCGUAGGGGCAUGAGUUGCUGCCAUCCCCGAAUGUGCAUGGUGUGCAGAGCCCGUGCCCAGGCCCAGUGUGCAUUUGCUGAGCUUGGUCCCUGUCCCUGAUGGUCUCAUUUUACGGAUGUGGAAGAAGGGGGCAGCUGAAGCAGUGAGCUCUGCUACAUAGUAGUCUGCUUGUCGCUGUGACAGAGCACCAAGGAAAUCGGUGUGAGGGAGAGAGGGUCUUUCUGGUUGGUUGGCUCUGUCCCUCUUAGGCUGGGUGAGGUCACAGUAUCACAGUGAACGGGCCCAGAGUUGCAGGGCACCGAGGGCCGCCUGGGGACAGUGCCUGUUUCACUGCUGCAUUGUGGAGGGGCAGGCCGUGUUCAUCCUGGACAGGUUCCGGUGCAGAAGAGUGGUUCUGUCUGCCAGGCCAGGGCAGCAGAUGCCACUGGGUGUUGGCCACGACUGAGUCCUCUUGCUCAUGCUGGUCCUGCGUCCCCUUCCUCCAGGAUCCCAUCUGGGGGUGACUCCUGAAGCCCCAGGUGCAGGGGACAUUUCCCGACCCACCUCCCCGGUGGGGCCUCUCAGACGGAACGUAUCGGAAGCCCAGCUGCUCCAGCCUCCUCCUUGCCAAAGUGAUUUUAGAUAUGUUACGACUGACAAACAGCACAACCCAGUUCAGAGGGAAAAAUCUCCCCUCUAUUGGAAUAGAGGAAAUUGGGGAGGAGGUAGGUUUUAUUUUUCACUGUUACUUUUGAAAUGAUUAUAGAUUCACAGGAAGUUGCAAAAGUUGUACGCAGGGUCUCCCAGGUCCUCCUCCAGCUCCCUGCAAUGGCGACAUUUUACUUAGCAGCAGUAAAACAGCAAGACCAGGAAAUUGACAUCAGAAUGAGACUCCAGGCCUUGCUCGGAUUUCGCCUGUGUGCGCACGUGCACGUGUGUGUGUUUCUGUGCACGUGAUCUCUUGCAGAGGCUCACGUUACCGCUGCCACCAUCAGGACACUGGGCAGCUUCACUGCCAGAAACCAGCUUCCUGGCGCCCCCGGGAGGGGACCUGCAAACCAUGAGUGGACAAGACGCGCUGUGCGCACUCACUGUACGGCCCCGACUUCUGGAGUGAGUGUACACUGCGGAACAGCUGCGUCAAGCUGAGGGGCGAUGCUGUUUGUGCACUGUGAGGACACCCCAGAUUGGCUCCCUUUGCAGUCUCGAAGUGGUUACGCACUUGGUCACUACCGUCGCCGCAUCCUGCCACAGACCCCUCGAAGCUGUUUCUCUUGUGUGACUAAAAUUGUGCCCUUGACCGACCAGGCACACCAUGUUUUUAGCAGCACAAUAGCUAAGUCUUGGAAGCAGCCUAUACGUCCAUCAACAGAUGAACGGAUAAAGAAAAUAUGCUAUUUACACACAACGGAGUACUACUCUGCCACAAAGAAGGAUAAACCAAAGUCAUUUGUAGGAACAUGGAUGCACCUUGAGACCAUAAUGUUAAGAGAAAUAAAUCAGACACAGAAGGUUAAAUAUCACAUGGCUUCUCUUAUAUGUGAAACCCUGAGUAUAAAUAAAGAGCAAAAUAAGAGAUAGAUCAUAGGUAACAGGGAGAUGGAUGUUUUGGAAAUAGGAAGGGAG
rnacentral:lncRNA from 1 species